rnacentral:lncRNA from 7 species
CUUUUACAGGCAGUAAGGAAAUGCAACCACCCAGAGGCCAGGAUUAUUAAAGAUGAAGAAUGUUAUGAACCAUUUUUUUAAAGUCACAUUUUUUAAUUACCUGGCACUUAAUACGUAUUUAGUUGUACUUGUUAGAUCUAUAUUCUUGCAAAAAGUUGCGUUUACAAAAUAUUGACAAAGGAGCUGUAUUCUUGUGCCCCAGAACUUGUUAUAUAAAUGAAUGGGAUUGCUAGGUUAAAACUAUUUGUUUCCAGACACCAAAAAUAGUAUCACUUAACGUUUCUUGACCCUCACCUAUCUUCUGAAAAGUAAGAGUAUUCAUGCUUUUGUGUUUUAUAUAUGCCUUGUACUAAAGAUCUUGUUACUUUGGCAAUCAUUCAGUGUCUGCAUAAAUAUCACUGACAGCAGUCAAUAGCAGGAUGCUAAACACAGGAGGUUCAUGGCCUUAUAGCCCAUAUUUUAUCUCACUUGUGUAGCCUAAGAAGUUUUGUCGAGUAGUUAUGCACAGCAAAUACAGUGGCAAAAUUGAUGAAGAUUAUAUUGUUAUUGGUUCUAUUGGUGUGCUUGUUUCAGAAAUACUGCUUUCUUUCAAUUGCACCAGUUACAGCACGUCACUUUUAUUUUACCUUCUUGAAGUACUUAAUAUUGAAGCACUGAAUGUGUUUGGGCUACUAUAGAACUGUGUAAUUAAAAAAGGUUAUUUAUGUUGAAGGUUGUAUUCAAAACACUUAAUUAAACUUACU